AGCGUAGACGGUGUGGCAAGUCUGAUGUGAAAGGCAUGGGCUCAACCUGUGGACUGCAUUGGAAACUGUCAUACUUGAGUGCCGGAGGGGUAAGCGGAAUUCCUAGUGUAGCGGUGAAAUGCGUAGAUAUUAGGAGGAGCACCAGUGGCGAAGGCGGCUUACUGGACGGUAACUGACGUUGAGGCUCGAAAGCGUGGAAGCAAACA
rnacentral:rRNA from 1 species